ensembl:lncRNA novel transcript
CGUCCAUCACCAGGGCGAGGUUCGAGGAGCUGUGCUCCGACCUGUUCCGAAGCACCCUGGAGCCCGUGGAGAAGGCUCUGCGCGACGCCAAGCUGGACAAGGCCCAGAUUCACGACCUGGUCCUGGUCGGGGGCUCCACCCGCAUCCCCAAGGUGCAGAAGCUGCUGCAGGACUUCUUCAACGGGCGCGACCUGAACAAGAGCAUCAACCCCGACGAGGCUGUGGCCUACGGGGCGGCGGUGCAGGCGGCCAUCCUGAUGGGGGACAAGUCCGAGAACGUGCAGGACCUGCUGCUGCUGGACGUGGCUCCCCUGUCGCUGGGGCUGGAGACGGCCGGAGGCGUGAUGACUGCCCUGAUCAAGCGCAACUCCACCAUCCCCACCAAGCAGACGCAGAUCUUCACCACCUACUCCGACAACCAACCCGGGGUGCUGAUCCAGGUGUACGAGGGCGAGAGGGCCAUGACGAAAGACAACAAUCUGUUGGGGCGCUUCGAGCUGAGCGGCAUCCCUCCGGCCCCCAGGGGCGUGCCCCAGAUCGAGGUGACCUUCGACAUCGAUGCCAACGGCAUCCUGAACGUCACGGCCACGGACAAGAGCACCGGCAAGGCCAACAAGAUCACCAUCACCAACGACAAGGGCCGCCUGAGCAAGGAGGAGAUCGAGCGCAUGGUGCAGGAGGCGGAGAAGUACAAAGCGGAGGACGAGGUGCAGCGCGAGAGGGUGUCAGCCAAGAACGCCCUGGAGUCCUACGCCUUCAACAUGAAGAGCGCCGUGGAGGAUGAGGGGCUCAAGGGCAAGAUCAGCGAGGCGGACAAGAAGAAGGUUCUGGACAAGUGUCAAGAGGUCAUCUCGUGGCUGGACGCCAACACCUUGGCCGAGAAGGACGAGUUUGAGCACAAGAGGAAGGAGCUGGAGCAGGAGUUGUAAGACGUUCAUCGCCGUGUUAUCCUUGAGUAAAGAAUGAACUCUGGAAGCCCAGCCAGGGACAAUGCACCUUCACAGAGAUUCUGCACUAAUCUGAGUGAAGGUCUAAGGUUUGGAAUCUCCCCCUCAUGGAGAGAAGCUUUGUAUGGCUGUCAUGCUUAGACAGUGAUUCCUGCAACUUGACCUUCAGGCUGGGAGAGGUGGAGAGCCAUGCCUGUUCUCCUUCCUUGCUAUGGAAUUUGCUGACACAAUAUCUUCCGCCUGGUGCUGGGCAUAUCCUAAGAACUUACAACUUUCCUGUAUUAUCCUGUGUGAGCAGCUGUCACCUUAUUGGGGGAAAAAUGCCUGAAAAUUAGGGGGCACUUCAAGUAGAUAGCUUCUAUUUCCUAUAUUUGUCUUAUAUACAAGUAUU